rnacentral:lncRNA from 1 species
ACGGUUCGGACCUACUCCUGCUGACCCCCCAUCCUCCCGCCCCGGGUCUGACGGGGGAGUGCCCGUGGCUCGGGCUCCUAGUCUCGUCCGUGACUUUCCGGUUGCCCUGGAUCUCAGAAUAUAUUCGUCCACCCCCUCGGCACCCCAUUACCCCGAGUCCCACCGUGUGUCCGUUGUAAGUCCGGUGGAUGUGGCUGGGGUUUCCUGGUAUUGUGGAGGCACCCAGGUUGUCCAUGCUUGGGAUUCUGGGGGAAGGAGAGAAGGGCAGCUCAGGGUGGAUGUGAAGCCACCCUUCCUCUUCUGGACCCAGCCUGGUCUGCACUGCAACCUCCACCAGGACCAGGAUCCUGGGCCACAGGCUGGGAUGGUCCUUCCAAGAAAGGGUCAUUUCAGACGCAGCCCUGCUUGGGCUAUUCAAUCUUAGGGUGUCUAUCCACGUCUGGCUGUGCCAAAUGGUCUGGCAGCUGGUUUUGGCAUCCCCAGCAUCACCACUCUCCCAACCCAUCACCGUGACUGCAGUUCCUGCCCCCAUUCUCUUGGGGUCAGGGAGGGGCUGGGAAGGGCUACUGAAGGCCC